AUCAAACACAAUGGCUGAUUAUAAGCAUCAUAUCUGCUCUGAUAAACGGACUUCUGCUCAUUCUGCUGAUCGGAGUAGUAAAAGUUUUUGUUGUUGGAAAAAGAAGGUCUACAGAACAAGGUCUGAAGAAACAGAUGCAAGUUAUAGAACAGCAUCAAGACCCAAACCAAUUACAGUAUGCUGAGGUGGACUUUUCCAAGAUGCGUAGAAAUAUUCGAUCGAGCCAAAUCAACAGCACAUAUGCUGCUCUAAACCUGCCGAAAUCAUAAAGAUGUGCAUGACUGCUCUUAUGCUACUUUCUUGAUGUUCAUGUAAAGGUCUAACCACAGACUGUAAGAUAAAAUUAACCUCCAAGAUAACAGUCAACCUAACAGUCUUACA